UACGUAGGGGGCAAGCGUUAUCCGGAUUCACUGGGUGUAAAGGGAGCGUAGACGGCCAUGCAAGCCUGGAGUGAAAGCCCGGGGCCCAACCCCGGGACUGCUCUGGGAACUGUGCGGCUGGAGUGCGGGAGGGGCAGGCGGAGUUCCUGGUGUAGCGGUGAAAUGCGUAGAUAUCAGGAGGAACACCGGCGGCGAAGGCGGCCUGCUGGACCGCGACUGACGUUGAGGCUCGAAAGCGUGGGGAGCAAACAGG
rnacentral:rRNA from 1 species